AUUCUGGAGGAAUCCUUGGCAGGAUUCUGGAGGAAUCCUUGGCAGGAUUCUGGAGGAAUCCUUGGCAGGAUUCUGGAGGAAUCCUUGGCAGGAUUCUGGAGCAAUCCUUGGCAGGAUUCUGGAGGAAUCCUUGGCAGGAUUCUGGAGGAAUCCUUGGCAGGAUUCUGGAGGAAUCCUUGGCAGGAUUCUGAAGGAAUCCUUGGCAGGAUUCUGGAUGAAUCAUUUACACGAUUCUGGAGGAGUCCUUGGCAGGACUCUAGAGGCACCCUUAGCAAGAUUUUGGAAGAAUCCUUGGCAGGAUUCUGAGAGAAUCCUUUGCAGGAAUCAGGAGGAACCUUUGGCAAGAUUCUAAAGGAACCCUUCGUAGGACUCUGGAGGAAUUCUUGGCGGGAUUUUAGAGAAAUUCUAGGCAAAAUUCUGGAGAAAUCCUUGGCAGGAUUUUGACGGAAUCCUUGGCACUAUUCUGGAGAAACCUUUGGCAGGAUUCUGAAAGAAUCCUUCGUAGGACUCUGAAGGAAUUCUUGGCAGGAUUCUAGAAAAAUCUAGGCCGAAUUCUGGUGGAAUCCUUGGCAGGAUUCUGAUGAAAUCCUUGGCAGGAUUCUAAAGGAAUCCUUUGCAGGAUUCUUAAGGAAUCUUUGGCAGGAUUCUGAAGAAAUCCUUGGAAGGAUUCUGAGUGAAUCCUUGGAUGGAUUCUGGAGGAAACCUUGGCAUGAUUCUGAAGGAUUCCUUGGCAGGUUUCUGAUGGAAUCCUUGGUAGGUUUCUGGAGCUAUUCUUGGCAGGAUUCUAAAAAAAGCUUGGCAGGAUUCUGGAGGAACCCUUGGCAGGUUUCUGAAAGAAUCCUUGGUAGGUUUCUGGAGCUAUUCUUGGCAAGAAUCCUUGGCACGACUCUGAAGGAAUCCGUGACAGAAUUCUGAAGGAAUCCUUGACAGAAUUCUGAAGGAAUCCUUGGCAGGACUAAGGAGGAAUUUUUGACUGGAUUCUGAUGGAAUUUCUGGCAAAAUUCUGGAGAAAUUCUAGGCAGAAUUCCGGAGGCAUCCUUGAUAGAAUUCUGGAGGAAUCCUUGGCAGGAUUUUGGAGGAAUCCUUAGCAGGAUUCUGGAGGAAUCACUGGCAGGAUUCUGGAGGAAACCUUGGCAGGAUUCUGGAGGAAUACUUGGCAGUAUUCUGGAGGAAUCACUGGCAGGAUUCUGGAAGAAUCCUUGGCAGGAUUUUGAAGGAAACCUUGGCAGUAUUCUGGAGGAAUCCUUGGCAGGAUUUUGGAGGAGUCCUUGGCAUGAUUCUGGAGGAAAUCUUGGCAUGAUUCUGAAAGAAUCUGUGGCAGGAUUCUGGAGGAAUCUGUGGCAGGAUUCUGGAUGUAUCCUUGGCAGGAUUCUGAAGGAAUCUCUGGCAGGAUUCUGGAGGAAUCCUUAGCAGGAUUCUGGUGGAGUCCUCGGCACAAUUCUGGAGGAAACAUUGACAUGAUUCUGAAGAAACCCUUACAGGAUUCUGGAGGAAUCUGUGGCAGGAUUCUGGAUGAAUCCUUGGCAGUAUUUAGGAAGAAUUCUUGGUAGGAUUUUGGAGGUUUCCUUGACAGGAUUCUGGAUGAAUCAUUUACUCGAUUCUGGAGGAGUCCUUGGCAGGAUUCUAGAGGAACCCUUGGCAAGAUUUUGGAAGAAUCCUUGGCGGGAUUCUGAAGGAAUCCUUGGCAGGAUUCUGGAGGAAUCUUUGGCAGGAUUCUAAAGGAAUCCUUCGUAGGACUCUGGAGGAAUUCUUGGCGGGAUUCUAGAGAAAUUCUAGGCAGAAUUCUGGAGAAACUUUGGCAGGAUUUUGCAGGAAUCCUUGGCACUAUUCUGGAGAAAUCUUUGGCAGGAUUCUAAAGGAAUCCUUCGUAGGAUUCUGAAGGAAUUCUUGGCAGGAUUCUAGAGAAAUUCUAGGCAGAAUUCUGGUGGAAUCCUUGGCAGGAUUCUGACGGAAUCCUUGGCAGGGUUUUGAACUGAAUCCUUGGCAGGAUUAUGACGGAAUCCUUGGCAGGAUUCUGACGAUAUCCUUGGCUGGAUUCUGACGGGAUCCUUGGCAGCAUUCUGACGGAAUCCUUGGCAGGAUUCUGAUGGAUUCCUAGGCAGGAUUCUGAAGAAAUCCUUGGCAGGAUUCUAAAGGAAUCCUUGGCAUGAUUCUGAAGCAAUCUCUGGAAGGCUCCUGGAGAAAUUCUUGGCAGAAUUCUGGUUUUCUGGUUUUUUUCAGGAUUCUGAAGGAAUCCUUGAUAGGAUUCUGGAACAAUCCUUGGCAGGAUUCUGGUAGGAUUCCGGAGAGUGCAUUGGCAGGAUUGUGGAGGCAUGCUUGGUAGGAUUCUGAAGCAAUCCAUGGAAGGAUUCUCAUGAAAUCCUUGGUAGGAUUAUGGAGGAACCCUUGGUAGGGUUAUAGAGGAAUCCUUGGCAGGAUUCCGAAGGAAUUAUUGGCAGGAUUCUGGAGGAAUUCUUGGCAAGGUUCUGAAGCAAUCCCUGGCAGAUCCUGCAGGAAUCCUUGGCAGAUUUGGAUCCUUUGGAUAAACUCUUGGCAGGAUUCUGUAAAAAUCCCUGGCAGAGUUCUGAAGGAAGGCAUGGCUGGAAUCAGAAGUAAUCCUUGGCAGUAUUUUGAAGGAAUCCUUGACAGGAUUUUGAAGGAAUCUUCUGCAUGAUUCUGAUGGAAUCCUUUGCAUAAUUCUGAUGGAAUCCUUUGAAGAACUCAGAAGGAGUCCUUUGUUGGAUGCUUAAGGAGAUGAAUGCGUUUUUUGUAGAAUUUUCUGCAAAAUUAUUAUUUAAUAAUGCUCUGCAGGAUUCCUAAAGGAAUCUCUAAAGGAUUCUUGGGGCAUCCUGUAUAACUGCAACAGAAUCCUCUGCUGAGUUUUGACAAGAACCUAUGAGGAUUUCUGACGGAUUCUGAAUAAAAUCAGACGGAACCCUUCACAGGGUUUUAAGGUACUCCUCUCCAGGAACUUUCUGCAAUGUUUUUGGGGACAUUGUUUGCUGAAAAUCCUACAUUUCAGUAAAUUCGCUGCAGUUUUAUGUUAAAUUAUCAACAAAUUUAUCACCAAAAAAUGUGUUGGGCGAGCUUUUGCUGUUCUGUGAAAUAUUAAGAUGAUCCUUUCAAUGCAUGUGAAUCUGUGUGAAUCUUCUAAGUUUAAGUAGGAAACUAUUGAGUGACGCUUAACAAUGAACCGCUCUCGCACUUUCGUCUAUUUCAAUGAACGUGUGUGUGGUUGUGAUUCUUUUUAACCUCUCUUCUGCUCUGUUUAAAGAUCAUCGCCCUUCUACACUCUACUUGCGUCGAUCUCGCUUUAUUUAUUUCUCUUUCUAUAAUACUUUCAUUGAUUCUUUUAUACUGGUUGGUUUUUUACUAAUUUAAAAUAUUCACAUUUAUCAAAUUUAUGUAAAUUGCGUAGAAAAUGUUUCAUUCCCGUUUGUUUUAGGUUCUUGGUUUUGCUCUCUCUCGAGAGAGAGUUGCUCUCGAUUCUUUUUUCCUCUCUCUUUUUGUAUCGAGAACUAUUCUCACACAAAAAAGGUGGAAUCAAUGUACACACGCGCGCAGGGCAGCGCGACGGGGGGUCAAUACGACUUUAAUUCGUGUAUUCGGUUGUGGGUUUUGCUUUAGUUUAUAACGGAUCGUUUAUUUAACUUCAUCGAGUUCUUUUCUUUUCUUUAGUGUUCUGCAUCUGUUCUUCGCUUUCUGCUAGUUGCGUGUUUGUGUGUGUGAGAGAGAGAACUGUUCUAGUAUCAGUGUUGCGUUUUAGUGUUUCGGAGUGUGAGUGUGUUUCUGUUUCGAAAAGAUAAAAUUCGGCUCACUCAACGACAAAAAGACGAACUACAAAAAACAUUUGGCGGGAUUUCGCUCGAUUUGUAGAUAAGGUCACUCAAAAAAUAGAUUCCUCAGCGCAAAGUGUUGUUUGGUGGUGUGUUGGGACAGUAGUGGAAGUGGGAUUCGUGAUUUGUGUUUGUAGUUUGAAAUAACCUAGCUUCGCGCAAUUCGUUGGGGACUUUCGCAGUCUCUUCACAGUUUGGCUGUGUUUGUGUGUGUGUGCUUCCGCUUUGCCUGUUUUGAGAGUGUGUUCGUGUGGGUGAGCUCGGUGUGGCGGUGUGAGUGACGGCUCGGUCACCGUUUGUCGGAAAAUAAACUGAGUGCUCUAGAAGUGUUCGAUCAAUCUUCAAUAGCCUUUGACUUUGUUCUUCCAUUUUUAUAUACUCUGAUAUGGUACAUUUUUAGUAUCUUCCAUGAUAGGUUUAAUGAUGCAAUUUCGCUUCGCUUCGUUUCAAUUGUGGUUUAUUUUAGUUUCGAUUUAAGGUGCGCAGAUUUUGUCAACGUGAUGAAUGUUUUUUAAAGACUUUUGUUUAAUUUACCGGGAUUGAAUAUUUUCUUCGCUUGGCACAGAAUCACUACGCGAACGACUGAGCUCGGAGCUUGUCUGGUCUCAAAGAGUUCUCCUUCACGAUUUGUUUGUUUAGUUCCUUUCGAAAAAGUUCGCUCACUCAACAAUGUUUCUUUUUUUUAUCCUCGUGUUGUAAUUGAUUAUUAAUUUAUUAAAUUGUGUUACCUCUUAACGUAUAGUCAACUUUACAAUUCGAUUUACUGUACUAUUUGAAAAUUCAUAGAAUUUCGUAUAUACUUCCUCAGCGACGCUUUUCACAGGGCAGGUCUUUGGCAGCAGAGCUGCCGCCGAGCCUUCCUUUCUCGUAAAAGCUUCUCUUGCGCUGAUUCGUUUCUUCUCUUAUUAUAUUUAUGUCAUUCUCCUUAUAAGGGGGUCUGGCAAAAUAUCCAUUUUUAUCUAAUCGCUUACUGUCUGAUUUGGUUGGAAUUAACUACCGCUUACUUAUUAAUUGAUUUAAAUUGUAUCUCCUUUUUUGUUUGUGCUUUCAAGUUCAAGAUUUAAUGCCUCAAUUGUUUUCGAUCUCCGUUUUUUUAUUCUCUAUUGGAAUGACGUUGCUCUUCUCUUCGUCUCGGUUUUACUGCUGCAGCCAAGUUUAAUUCAAACCAGGAGAUUUUUCUUACAUUCUUAUUAUUAUGACAACUACCGCUAUACAACUUAUUCGAGGAAACCAAUCAAAAUCGGUAGUCUACAACGGUCACAUCGUUUAACAAAUGUUUUCUUUCGAAAAAAAAAAUCCAGAAUAACCAACGAACCAUUCAAGGAUUUCCUAAAUUCCGCCAUCAAUGUUGCGGGCGUAAUUUCUGAGGCUUAGUUCGUAACCAAGCCGUUUGUUAUCUUCUCACAACAUCUCAUGAAAUGGAAAAUUUUCUUUUAUGUUUUCGUUUACAUUUAAUAAGAAAUGCGACUUUUGUUUCGAUUCGAUCUCUCUCUCCGCUUCUCUGCUGGGUGCGAAGUGUGCACUCGCAAAACCUUAACGUGACAAGUUGAUUUUAGUAUUGAAGCAUGGUUU